UACAGAGGUCUCAAGCGUUUGUUCGGAUUCAUUGGGCGUAAAGGGUGCGUAGGUGGCGCCGUAAGUCGGGUGUGAAAUUUCGGAGCUUAACUCCGAAACUGCAUUCGAUACUGCGGUGCUUGAGGACUGGAGAGGAGACUGGAAUUCAUGGUGUAGCAGUGAAAUGCGUAGAGAUCAUGAGGAAGACCAGUGGCGAAGGCGGGUCUCUGGACAGUUCCUGACACUGAGACACGAAGGCCAGGGGAGCAAACGGG
rnacentral:rRNA from 1 species